AACGAACGCUGGCGGCAUGCCUAACACAUGCAAGUCGAACGAUCCCUUCGGGGAUAGUGGCGCACGGGUGCGUAACGCGUGGGAACCUGCCCUUAGGUUCGGAAUAACUCAGAGAAAUUUGAGCUAAUACCGGAUAAUGUCUUCGGACCAAAGAUUUAUCGCCUUUGGAUGGGCCCGCGUUGGAUUAGCUAGUUGGUGGGGUAAAGGCCUACCAAGGCGACGAUCCAUAGCUGGUCUGAGAGGAUGAUCAGCCACACUGAGACUGAGACACGGCCCAGACUCCUACGGGAGGCAGCAGUGGGGAAUAGUGGACAAUGGGCGAAAGCCUGAUCCAGCAAUGCCGCGUGAGUGAUGAAGGCCUUAGGGUUGUAAAGCUCUUUUACCCGGGAUGAUAAUGACAGUACCGGGAGAAUAAGCCCCGGCUAACUCCGUG
rnacentral:rRNA from 1 species